GCAUGGUGAUGCAGUGGUUAGCACUGUCACCUUACAUCUGGGAUGUUCUUGGUUCGAUUCCUAGUUUGGUGCU
rnacentral:tRNA from 1 species